rnacentral:rRNA from 1 species
AUUGAACGCUGGCGGCAGGCCUAACACAUGCAAGUCGAGCGGAUGAGAGGAGCUUGCUUCUCGAUUCAGCGGCGGACGGGUGAGUAAUGCCUAGGAAUCUGCCUGGUAGUGGGGGACAACGGUUCGAAAGGAACGCUAAUACCGCAUACGUCCUACGGGAGAAAGCAGGGGACCUUCGGGCCUUGCGCUAUCAGAUGAGCCUAGGUCGGAUUAGCUAGUUGGUGAGGUAAUGGCUGACCAAGGCGACGAUCCGUAACUGGUCUGAGAGGAUGAUCAGUCACACUGGAACUGAGACACGGUCCAGACUCCUACGGGAGGUAGCAGUGGGGAAUAUUGGACAAUGGGCGAAAGCCUGAUCCAGCCAUGCCGCGUGUGUGAAGAAGGUCUUCGGAUUGUAAAGCACUUUAAGUUGGGAGGAAGGGUUGUAGAUUAAUACUCUGCAAUUUUGACGUUACCGACAGAAUAAGCACCGGCUAACUCUGUGCCAGCCGCCGCGGUAA